rnacentral:lncRNA from 1 species
GGUAAUGGAGUUUUCAAAUUUUGAGAUGGAGGGUAACAAGGUAACCUUUACAUGACACGGAGUGCAAAAAAACUCAUUGCCAGUUGGAUUUGUGACUUUUUCAUGUGGAGUUAUCACCCACUUCGUUGUAUCUUGAAUUUGAUGGCUUGGUAGAUGAAGGUAAAUUUAGUUCUUUUCCUACUGGUUUCAUUUUCACUGCAGGCAUUCACAAUACAAUGUCGCCUAGGAUUUUUUGGUUCAAAAGUACUAGUUAUGUCUAUGAGCAUAAUCUUUGAAUGAUUUACUCAAGUUGAUUGCUGAUUGAAUUUAAUUUAGGAUAUUUUUAUACCACUGCUGUGAGUUUCUAUUGAGUCGGGCAUGUACGAUACUCACCUUUUUGUUUCAUUUUUCAUGAUUUAUCUCCAUCAGUUGGUAGAGGAUUUAAGUUAGUUUUCCCUUCUUUUUUCUCAUACAUUUAGUAAGUAGGGAAACAAAAUAAAGAGGAAAUGACUUUUUGCUUCAUUUGCAUGAUCAUAUCUGUUUCUCUAUUAGGUUAUUUACUUUUGAAUGUGGAGUCCCACUUCCUUGUAGCUCAAUUAUCUUUUGAAGGUUGGUACUGCUCAUGUCUGGUCCAAAAGUAGUAGUUAUAUAUGCUUCAUCUAUGAGUCUAAUCUUUGAAUUUUUAGCCUUAUCGUGCUCAAGUUAUUUUGUCCUUCCUUGUAACUUGGUUAUAUUGUUAGUAUUAUUAACAUUAUUGAGAUGAUUAAACCUUCUCUCAUCAACCUCCGUGAUCUAUAUUUUCUAUAUUGAAAUCUAAAUUAUUUUCAUAUAACUCUCUUCAAGAAGAUUUCUUCAUAUCCUAUAGAAAAUCUGCAGCUAUCUCAAACCACCCCCUAUUGCCACUCAAGUUUUUCAGGUUAGCCUUCUCAUUUUUUAUUUCUAUUUUGUAUACUCUUCCAAAUUACUGUUAUGUACCUAUUACUCGAUUGCGGUGGUAUCUAAAGAGCAUAUGGAUGGAUUUUACAAAGCUAUUUGGAUGGACUCUUUUAAAAAGUUCCCUAAGAAGUAUAUAAAUUCAGAUGCAGGUUGAUUUUUCUUUGAUUGUAUGACAAGUUUAAGCUACAAUUCAAACGAGGGUAACAUACGGUGAUGGAGAUCUGAUGUAACAUCAUAUUGAAAGGUUUGGCACUUCUUCUCAAGUUGAAAACUUAAUUAUGUGUCCUUUAUAUGUGAAUUGUAUGUAAAUUGUAUUGGAUGUGCCUGGAUACUAUAAAAAUUACUUUGCAACACCCUUCUAUACCAUUUGGUUACCAAUGUUUGAUAGGCAUGGUGGAAACGUAAGUAUGAUAUACGUUGUGGGAUGAUUUUGAUCAACACCCUUAUUAUACCCAUAGUUUUUGCUUGUUGUAUGCUAGCACACUGGGUGACACCUUUGUGCUCAAAUCUUUUGUAAAUUUUAGGCUACGACGAGACUUAAAAAUGGACAGUACUAAUAGUGAAAUGAUUUUGUUGGGGCUGAUGGGAUAGUGGUUAAAGGUAUCUCCUCAUUUUAUAUAAUGAGUAAGAUGAUCAAGUUGAAGAUCAAACAUUUUUACAUUGUUCAUACAAUUAGUUCUAACUCUUGCCCACUUUGCUUUGUAGAUUGAUGUGUGAAUGCCAAAUUUUGGUUAAGGAAGAAGCAUGUUCAUCUCGGACAUGGAUCGAUGUUCUUUUGUUUUGUUGGAACAUGGAUAUUCAAAUGGCAAUGAUUUUGAGUUUUGUUGAUGGAGUUUUGUGGGCUGCACCCACAUGCCCGUAGUUUAUAGAGAGCACCAAUAGUUAAUAAGGAAAGAAAAGAGGUGGACUCUUAGUUUUUAGUAUGCAUAGAAUGACUUUGUUAUAAAAAUUUCUAUGUUAUAUUGCGAAGCAUGAUCAAUUUAUCCAGAAACUAAAUUUGUC